CUCAUGUCGAAGAGGGGGGAGGAGAACUCUCGCCGGGUUCGAACAGAGCAGCUUGCUGCGAUAAACGGCCGCAGGCCGCCCCGAAGGGGUGAGCCACGCAGUGGCGAAUGAUCCUGCCCUCAUAACCA
rnacentral:sRNA from 1 species